AUUAUUAUCUUUUGAACCUAUUACUCUUGAAUGGGUAGUGUGGAAUGUGAACAUUGGACUUCUUUUGGGCGAAAAGUUAUCAACACUGUCUUCAUUCUUAUUCAGUACUUUAGAUUUAUUAUUUGUUUUCCAUGAUAUUCUGUAAAACGUCAAGGAGUAGUGUCUUCCUAGUGGAGAAUUAUAUAGAGAUGACAAGAAGGUGGUUGCAUGUUUUUGUGGAGUUUUUGGCCAAAAUUAUCCUUCAACUAUACCCCAAACUUAAACUACAUCCUUAAAGUAUCAUUUUUAGCAGAAAACAUCCUUUAAGUAUUUGUAAGUGAACAACUUUCAUCCUUUUGUUAGGUAUUGUCAAAAAACUAAGAGAUCUUACGAAAACAUGAGCAGUUAACGUGACUAUCAACAAAAAUUAUUAUUGCAUAAUUUCAUUACUUUCUACAAGAAGUCUUGAAAAGUAUAAAAAAUCUUAGACAUUAUUGCUUAUGGAAGCUAAAAAUGAUUGGAAGGAGUGGGUGUAAAUGAUUUGACUUUUUCGUAACGGAAAGAAGUUGGAGAUUAAUUAUUUUUAUCUUUUUCUUAACCAAUUAAAUUAAUGGAUUUUUGGGUCAAUCUAAUAUCGAAGUGACCAAAAUAUUGAUUAUGUCUCGUAUUUGAGUUUCAUUCUACAUUAUUAGAAGGGGAAGUCUCCAACAAAUGUCGCCUCUAGCAUAUUCAAUUGAGAAGAAACAUAUUUAAAGUAGUAAUAUUUUUAAUCAAAAUUAUAUGAAAAAUGAAUGAAAAAACGGUCAAAUUAAAUGAUUUUGCAUAAAAUUUAACUCAAUUACGAAAAAGUUCACUAAUAUUCUUGGCAUAUCUAAGAAUAAUAAUUAGGAAGGGAUGACUUAUUUUUUGUGGGAUAUAUCAAUUAGUUUUCUGAUAAAUUCAAGUAGAAGGUUGAAAAUUGUUCUUUAAAAUACUUGAAGAAUGUUUUAUGAUAAGAAUGAUACUUUAAGGAUGUAGUUUGAGUUUGAGAUAUAGUUUAAGGAUGAGUUUGACCAAAAUCUCAAAAUAAUUAAUCUCCAAGUUCUUUCCGUUACGAAAAAGGCAAAUCAUGUAUGCUCACACCUUCCAAUCAUUUUUAGUUUCCAUAAGCAACAGUGUCUAAGAUAUUUUAUAUUUUUCAAGAACUUCUGGUAGAAAGUAAUGAAAUUAUGCAUAAUAAUUUUUGUUGAUAGUCACGUUAACUGCUCAUGUUUUCGUAAGAUCUCUUAGUUUUUUGACAACACCUAACAAAAGGAUGAAAGUUGUUCACUUACAAAUACUUAAAGGAUGUUUUCUGCUAAAAAUGAUACUUUAAAGAUGUAUUAAGUUUGGGGAAUAGUUAAAGAUGUUUUCUGCUAAAAAUGAUACUUUAAGGAUGUAGUUUAAGUUUGGGGGUAUAGUUGAAGGAUGUUUUUGGCCAAAAACUCUGUCUUUGUGUGUCUAUUUGGACGGGUAACAAAAGCAUAGAAGAGAGCAAUUAGAAAGCUCCAAGGGUUUUGGUUGGUAUGGGCAUAUCACUGGUACAUGUCAUGGGUUCAAAUACUGCAGUAGACAAAAGCCUAGUAUUUAAAUGGAGAAGGGUAGAAGGACAGGCCCAUUAUCCCCAAGUUCCGAAACUGUGCUAGACUGGCCCUUGGACACUUCUUGCUUAUCCAAGAAAAAGGAUGGAGAGUGGAAUAAGAAAGUCAAAGAUGAUUUGUGAUAUUCCUUAGCAAAAAUCUUAUAUUUCAUUUUUGAAGAGAUCCAAUUCAAAGUGUUAGAGAGCUAACUAGAUACCCGAAAGCUAGGAGUGGGAGAGCAAGAAGUUAACGCAUUGCAACACAAAAGUUUUUGAAGUAAUGAGAUCUAAUAACAGGGAAUAAGUACCACAUCAACAACGAGUACCUCAAAGUAACUGUUACUUUGUUGUUGCAUGUCUACAGUUGUCAUGCUUUUGCAAUUCUUUCUAGCCACAUGCUGUAGUUUGGCACUGCAGCAUAUUAGAAAAUCAUUAUGGCUUUCACCACUUUCCUCUCACUUAUAAGAAAUAUUGGAAAUGAUGUCUACAUUCUUACCUGUUGGUGUAACACGUCUUAGGUUCAGUCUAUUUGGGAACCAAGACCGUCUGAAAACCUUAACCUUAGGUGGAGGUUUAGCUUUCCAUAAACAGAAAUGAAAAUGGAAAAGAAUGUGAAGGUAACAUUGGUCUCUGUAAGAGAAGAAGAAUUCAUGAUAAAUGCUCAAAGUCACCUAGUUCGCAUAUCCUUAUAUUAGUGUUUACAAUAAAAGAAAAUCUGGUAGAUCAUGCCACAAUUCAACCCUCGUCUAUCUCCUAGUCUUUUUUUUUUUGUUGGGAUCAGUAUAUCUUUUUAGUUUCAUUUGUGGAAGAAUCAAAACUCCAUAGAUUUGGAACACAAGUUAGAGCAUUAUUUGUUUGAGAAGUAAACAGAAGCUGCUACUUGAUGAAUAGUUUUUUGAUGAAUUAAUGGCUUCCGCCCUCCCCCCACCCACACCCCAACCACCACCAAACUAUCAUGUUUUUGCUUCGGGUGUUUCUAUCACUCACCUGAAGUACAACUUUAGGGUCAAAGCCACAACUCAAUAUUGUCGGUGCGUGUAUUUCACGCUCCUAAAACACUUAUAAAACAUGCCAAGUGGCAAGCUUUGCAAGUUUCAUAUUUUAAUUGUUAGGUGCUUCUAUUUAUCACCCUAAGCUAUAAUUUUUUAAGGUUAAAAACGCCCUGGAAGUGUAUUGCUCAAUACGCCUAGUGGCACUAUACGCGGCAUUAUAUUUUCUGCCCAAAUAUAAUGCUUAAUGGUAUUAUCUCCUGCAAUUGCCACUUAUGAGUCCUUUGCAUCUGGCAGAGAAUAUGGGCCCCCAGCCUACAGCCAGUCAGCCAUAUUAUCUCCCACUGAAGAUAUUCUUUCUAUUUCUUCCCGAUAAAGACAUUUUAUUGGCCACAAGAUCGGAUAAAAUUCAUUAUCAGGGCCAUAAAGCUUAUAGGAUUGGCUUCCAAGUAACAAAGCACUGAACUGUUAUCCAUAGACCUGGCGACUUGCGACCACUUAGUUUGUAGGACAUUCAUGUGACAUGGUUCUGAGGACCUGGGUUUCUUCAGCAUAGUAUGUGUGAAGUGCGUCUGAAGGGUAAGUAGUAGACCAAAAUAAAAAUCAAUGUGAAGAACAAGGAAG